rnacentral:rRNA from 1 species
GACGAACGCUGGCGGCGUGCCUAAUACAUGCAAGUCGAGCGCAGGAAGCCGUCUGAACCCUUCGGGGGGACGACGGUGGAAUGAGCGGCGGACGGGUGAGUAACACGUAAAGAACCUGCCCAUAGGUCUGGGAUAACCACGAGAAAUCGGGGCUAAUACCGGAUGUGUCAUCGGACCGCAUGGUCCGAUGACGAAAGGCGCCCCGGCGUCGCCCAUGGAUGGCUUUGCGGUGCAUUAGCUAGUUGGGGAGGUAACGGCCCACCAAGGCGACGAGGCAUAGCCGACCUGGGAGGGGGAUCGGCCAAACUGGGCCGGAGACACGGCCCAGACUCCUACGGGAGGCAGCAGUAGGGAAUCUUCCACAAUGGACGAAAGUCUGAUGGAGCAACGCCGCGUGAACGAUGAAGGCUUUCGGGUCGUAAAGUUCUGUUGUAAGGGAAGAACAAGUGCCGCAGGCAAUGGCGGCACCUUGACGGUACCUUGCGAGAAAGCCACGGCUAACUACGUGCCAGCCGCCGCCGUAA